AAAGGGGUUUGUAAAAUAAAUUAAACAAUACUGACUAUUAAAAAUUUGUUUUAAAUAAAUUGGAUUUAACUAACUGGAAUGUUACUUUAGGUACUUCAAUGGGUUCGGUAAUAAACACUGUGUUUUGAAAAGUUUAGUCUUUUAAAUUGAUUUAAAAAUAUUCAUCUCACACUUUCGCGCUGUUGAGUUAUAUUAUAUAAUGAUAAAAUAAAUGUAUCACUUUCGCUCUAACAUUUACUUAUAAAAAAUAUUGUUUGGAAAUCAAUUAAAUUUACUAAAAGGGUCUAGUUUUCACAAAACGAUACUAGUUUAAAAAUAUAGAACUCAUGCCAUAGCACUGUUGGGCUUAUAUUAUAUUAUAUAAAUAAGAUGUUUUGCUGUCGCUCAAUCAUUAAUUCAUAAAAUACUUUUUGAAAACUAAUAUAAUUUAAUUAACCUUAAAGAGC
rnacentral:lncRNA from 1 species